CGUACGAUGCCGCAGCGUUCACGUUUUCAGUUUUUUGAACUUCCAAUCCAUUCUACUAUUUCUACUUCGGUUACCGGCGUACUUCACGCAUUGUGAUGAAAACGUGCAUUUUCGAUCGUUCAUAGUUACGCUUUUUUGGUAAUAAUUUAUCGGUUUUUCAUUAAUUUUCCAUCGAACGUUAGUUAAUUUCAUGAUUCUAGUCGAUAUGGUUGUACGGUGUAGUGUUCUGGUGAUAUUUUCGUAUCACAUGUGCGCCUCCGUGUACUCUAUUCAGGUAAGAAGAGGUAUUUUUCCUCGAAAGACUGUUCAAUUCAAUGAAUAAUAUUUCAACGUUGGUGCGUUUCUGGAUUCGAAAACGUGGUUCGGUGAUUUGUAGUAUGAUACGUUUGAAUUGUAAAAUUGAAUAUAGCUCGUUUUUUUCGUAUGGAAUUUUCAACAUGAUUGAUUACAUCAGUCGUAAUCGUAAUUCGUACACCACGUGUUUGACAAUUCGUAUACGUCGUACGUCGAGUAUCACUCUAGUCAACCAUCUACGAUUCUACGAUCGGCUAAAGCAUGAAGCUGCUCCUUUGCUGAAUUUGGCGGAAAUUUCAUCGGAGAAAACUGAAAAGCAUGCGGGAUACCGGUGCCGGAUGGAAAAACGACGUCGACGUCGGACGUUCUGCGCAUGCGUCAAAAAAAGAAAUUUUGUCUCGAAAAUGGAAAAGUCGUUUACCUUUUGGCCGAGUGUUUCCGAUCCGCGUGAAUUUCAUCUGUGGAAAAUUGCAAUCGAGGAAAUCGAAAAAUGCGUCUCCACCAAUGGUGAAAAUGGAAAAUGAAAACUUCGUAUUCGAGUGAGAUUGCAAAAUAUGAUGUUUGAACUUUUGAUCGGAAAAUAAUGUUUCAACGUGAUUGGAUCCAGACCUCAUGUUUUGAUAUGUAUUUCUCCAGAACAGCCAUUAUUCAACAACUCGUCGUUAACGUUAACUGGAAUUCGUCACCAACCUUCUCCAUAUAUAAUGGGAAAUCGAACGGCUGGCUGAGAUAAUGGCCCUUUUAACAGAUUGCCAAUGACCUGCGAAUUGUUCGAAUAGAAUCAUUUAUCCGAAGAGAAUUUCUUUCUUACGGUUAUGAAUUUUACGAAUUUUCAAGAGUAUUCUCAUCCUCCGAGGAAAAAGAAAAUAGACUCUUCAAUAGAAGGAAUCUGGCAACUUUCAAGGUUUGUUCAAAAAUACUGAAGCAAACAUUAAUCUCAAAUGCCACAGAGUACUGAAAAGAAAAGGGCAGUAGUUAAUGUUCACUGACGUCGCCACCGCCUCCACCGCCACCACCGCCGCUGCCAACGUCGUCGUCAUCAUCGUCAUUUAUUUCCAGAUAUACUAUAAUGUUAAAGAUGAAUAACCACAGCGUAUCAUUUCGAGGCCAGUUCGACACGAUGCCAGCAAUUUUCUCAACAUUGCUUUGGAAGAUGAAGAAUGAAGAAUAGUUAUCAGGUAUAUGUAUUGUAUAGAAUAAAAAUGAUAUUGUGUAAUAUUUUACGUAAUCUCUAUAUGUACCUACCUAAUUUAAACACAAAUAAAUAAUUUCUCAAUGAACUGAUCUUCUCUAAAUAUUUACUUACUUUCAUUUAUCUAAAAUGAUGAAGCAGUUGAAAAGGCAUAAAGAAUACAAUGACCCCUAUGCAUUUUGAAAACUUAAUUCGAUAAGGGCUAAUUAGGCUUGUACUAUUUUAAUAUUUGUUUUUCUGAAAUUAUUCUCUUCAAAUGGAUGAUUUCUCAUCAAAAUAAUGUACUUAGUCCUGUUUCAUAAUUACCUCUUAAUACAUACUAAUUCAUUUAGAUAAUUUCAUGUUGGAAAAAAUUUGUUUUGAUGUAAGUAUUAAAUGAGCCAAAUCGAGAACAACUGGCCCAUAACAGCAUUUUUUUGAACUUUACUACAAAAUCCAGCAUUCGAGAAUAUUCUUCCACCAAUUUAAACCAAUAUUGUAGUCUACAUACAGUUCAAUCAUCGACAAAGUGUGCAGUGGACUGGUAUUUUUGUGAUGCAAAAAAUUCAGCUAGUCUUUCGUAGACAUAUGGAUUUAACUAAGUAUUUGCCAAUCUACAUAAUACUGAAAUGGGUUAAAUUUUCAGUAGAAAAGUGUCUAUAGUAGAAAAUCAACUCCCUGCAAUCCAUCAAAUUAUGAAUCCAAGUAUUUUGACUAAAUUAUAUUAUUUCUUGAGCAUUUUUAAAGAAUUUCAAUUCAAAAAUUGAGUAAUGAUUUUCAUCAUUCAUGGUUUUUAAAUAAAUAAAAUUUUCACAGAAAAUCAAAAAUUUUAGCAAAACUUUUUUGAGCACUUUUGAG